CUCCAUCGGUUCCUCUCAUUUUCCAACUCACACAAAAACCCCCAAAUUGAAAAAAAACCCUAGCACUCGCUGGCCCUCUCUCUUCCAUCUCGGCUACAUCGUCGCUAUCGCGACACCCAAUCGCUGGCGCUCUGUCGCCGGUGUCGCAGCAUCCUCAUCGCACUCCGUCGCCAUCUCCGAGUGCUUCUCGGUGUCAACGCUGCUCACACGCCGGCACAUAGCACCGUCGCCGACAGCUCUCCUCCGGGUCUUGACCUGCACGAGUUGCGCAACGGCCAGAGCCGCUGCCGUCAUCUCAGGAGCUUGAGCUUGCCAUCGUAGCUCAGGCAGGCUCGGCCCCUUUCGACCUCAAGCCUCGGCUACCAACCGCCUACCAAUCGGCCUUAAAGCUAAGUCCCAUAAUUCUCAUUAUCUAGUCCAUUUGUUGAUUCUCUCUUUGUGCAGUAGCUUGUGAGAUUUAAAAAUUCUCGUAUGUUGUUUAUUGUGGAGGAUCUCGGUUGGGUAUUCAUAAUUGUACAUGAUUUAGGAAUUUAGGAAGUUGAGUUGGUAUAGCUACUGAGCUUGGGUAAAAAUGGGUAAAAAGGCAGUAGCCUGUUGUUUUCUCUUGUUGUAUUAUGUGAUAAAGCUCCAAGCUUUCUCAUCCUAAGCAUGAAGUCAAGGAAAGGCAGAGAGUGUGCUAGUGCUUUACUGUUUUCUUCCAUUAUUCCUAUCAUGCUGUUAAGAUCUGGAAUGGUGGUGUUCUAAACAUGUUUAUACUUGGUUUCCUACUAUUUUACUUGAGAUUUAGCAUGCUAUUUGAGGUUUCUAAGUUUUGGUGCUUCUAUGUGAUGAAAAAAAAGUUAUUUGGAAGGAGGAAAGGAGUGUAUUACCUCUUGAAGCAGUUGCUGUCUUUGAUUUAUGCUCCUAGCACUUAAGCUCUCUUACUCUAAAUCUUGCUAUGUUGCUGGAAAUUUCUUAUGGUGUGUAGGAGAGUUCAUAGGUGGAGUGGAAGGGAUCUUUAUAUGAGAACUUUGGGAGUACUUUGUUGAAUUAAAUGGACUGUCUCCCUUUUUUUUAUGCCCAACAUAUCUCUUGUUUUUUAUCCUCAUUGCAGCCUUCUACUUGAAACAUUUUGGUGUUACUUGGAGUACUAGGUGUUUGACUAAUUAAUUCAUCUUGUUCUCACAUGCCCUCUUAGUACUUUAGUUCAUAACUUUCUUUGUUUGCAAGCUGCAGGAGCUCGUAGGGGAAGACAAGGCUGUUGGGUGGGAUCUGCUGUAGGCAGCUUGAGUUACUCCUUUGGGCAAAUUUUUGGUCUCCUAAGAAUAAAGGAGGGUGGAUAGAUCUGGGCUACCGUGCUGUUUAUGGGUUUGGCCCGCUCCCCUCGGCCCGACGGACUGCUCGAAGACGGGCCGCUGCUUUCGGCCCCAGAGAGAGGCCUGAAGUGCAAUCAAGAUUUCUCCUUUCUCUUUGUUUUCUUUAUUUAAAGCCUUUGUUCCAUGUAUUAUUUUUUUUGAAGUUAGUUGUUCGUUUGUUGUAUAUGAAAUGUUAUUCGAAUUUCUUUAUACUUGGGAAAAAACUUCUUGUC